CUUUUCUGCCUUGGGAUCCAGGUAAUCCUUGUAAUCCUGGAGGUCCAGAAAUUCCAUGUUUCCCUUCUUCUCCAUGUUCUCCUGGCAGUCCCUGAGGACCUGUAGCUCCUGACAGUGGGAAAAAACCCAGCAACUGUACCUGGCAAUCCUGGAUCUCCAGGAGGCCCUCUUUGACCGUGUGCACCGAGCAGAGCAGUUACGUCACCUCUCCUGCCUGUGGAGCUUUUACAGAUCCAUAAGAGUGGAUUUUCACGUGUUUGAUGGAAGUUUUAAAUCACAUGAAAUCGGGCACAAGUUUAUCUUCUAAAUGAGUAAGACCUGCUUUGGAAGGAACAACCUGAAAUGCAAGCUUUGAUACAGGCAAGUCAGAUUUGUUUCUAAGGACAUCCGUGUCUUAAUUAUUUUUCCUUCUAUCUUAUUUUCCCUUUUCUACUGACUCCUCACCAUCUAUCGGGGCAUAUACAUUCUAACAGUAUUGCUCUUUUACAAAAGU